GGAGGGAGGGAGGGAGGGAGGGAGCGCAGCCACCGCCGCCCGCCCCUCUGCCCGCGGGCUGGGGGCCGUAGCGCCGUGCCCAUAGCGCCGUGCCCACCCCGCGGCCACCCGGGAUGCGCCGCGGGCGAGCCCGGCUGCCCCGGGGGAAGUUGAAGGCUGGGCCCCCACGGGCCGCUCGGCCGGCUGCGAGGGGGCGGGCGGCGCCGGGCGCCCGAGGAGGAGCCCGAGCAUCCCGGCGCCGGGGACAGCCGGAGAACGGGCGGCGAGGCUCCAUGGGCUGCUCACGCCAGCAUGGUGCUCGCCCUCAACGGCAGCCACCUCUACGGUAACCUGCGGCCCCUGGUGCUGGAGGAGCCGCGGGCGCUGGGCGGCGGCAGGAUGAUCGCGGGCUCCUGGCCCCCGCGCAGCCUGGCGAAGCUCGGCCCGUCGCCCCCCCCGACGGCGCUGCCCACGGCGAGCCCCCUCCCCGCCAACGACUCGCAGUGCGGGGAGCAGAUCCUCAGCUACGGCAGCGCCGAGAAAGUUCUCAUCGGGGCCGUGCUCUGCCUCAUCACCCUGCUGACCAUCGCCGGCAACUGCCUGGUGGUGAUCUCCGUCUGCUUCGUGAAGAAGCUGCGGCAGCCCUCCAACUAUCUCAUCGUCUCGCUGGCCCUGGCCGAUCUCUCGGUGGCCCUGGCCGUCAUGCCCUUCGUCAGCGUCACCGACCUGAUCGGCGGCGAGUGGAUCUUCGGGCGCCUCUUCUGCAACGUCUUCAUCGCCAUGGAUGUCAUGUGCUGCACGGCCUCCAUCAUGACCCUCUGUGUGAUAAGUAUCGACAGGUACCUGGGAAUCACGAGACCCCUUACGUACCCUGUAAGGCAGAAUGGGAAGUGUAUGGCCAAGAUGAUCCUGUGUGUCUGGCUCUUGUCUGCCUCAAUCACCCUACCCCCGCUCUUCGGCUGGGCCCAGAACGUGAAUGACGAAAAGGUUUGUCUCAUCAGUCAGGACUUUGGCUACACCAUUUACUCCACAGCAGUUGCAUUUUAUAUUCCAAUGUCAGUGAUGCUUUUCAUGUACUAUCAGAUUUAUAAAGCUGCCAGGAGGAGUGCUGCUAAACACAAGUUUACUGGUUUUCCCCGUCUGGAAGAAAUGGAAGGGAUUUCUGUGAACGGACUUGUAAAACUGCACAAGGAAUCUGAAGAAUGUACUAAUUUUUCACGACUCCUAAAGCAUGACAAGAAAAACAUUUCCAUCUUUAAAAGAGAACAGAAAGCUGCCACCACCCUUGGGAUUAUUGUUGGGGCUUUCACAGUCUGCUGGCUGCCCUUUUUCCUCCUCUCAACUGCAAGGCCCUUCAUCUGUGGUACAGCGUGCAGCUGCAUCCCACUCUGGGUGGAGAGAACAUUUCUGUGGCUGGGCUAUGCAAACUCUCUCAUUAACCCUUUUAUCUAUGCCUUCUUUAACCGGGACCUGAGGACAACCUACCGCAACCUGCUGCAGUGCAGAUACAGGAACAUCAACCGCAAGCUCUCAGCCGCAGGCAUGCACGAGGCUCUGAAGCUUGCAGAAAAGCCAGAAUUCGUUCUGUAAGGUCACUCAUCCUCUACUGUGAUCAUUUGUUGUUUUAUCACAUUGGCUUUUCCCCCACAGGUUUGAAAGAAGUGUUGUAGGAAGAACUAGUUGAGCACAGUUAAUACAGUCAUCAGGAAACAAGGUAGAGCCCACCAGCCUGGAAAAACAAGAACACCAUCUAAAGAAUUUGUGUGUAAGAGGUAUAUAAAAAAGGAUGGAAGUGAAAUGUAGUACAGGAUGUUUGACCUGUAAGUGAGGAAAAAGCAAAGUUGGACUAACCCAUUUGUUUGGCCCAAAAAAUGUUUAGUAGGUCUGAAUGUUGGAUGCACCUUGUGUCCCAGAGAUUCUUUGCUGUAAUAAAGGCCUGAGAAUGGUGAAAAGUUAAUUUUCUUCCACUUCAGUAUUACAAAAAUAAGUCAUUAAAGAAGAAGCUGAAUCAAAUAACUUCUAUUCCUUAGAAAUAUUCUUUAUUAUAAAACCCCAUAUGUUCAUUAAACAUUAAUUUACUGGAUUGCCUGGAAAUGAACUAUGUUGUGAAAUUCAAUAUUGCCUUUGCACAGUAACUCUGGCACUGAAAGAAUAUGUUACAUUUCCAAUGUGAUUAAAAGAGUUUGACUAAAGUCACAUGGACCAGCAUCUGCUGCUGCUUACAGCCCUGCAGCACAGUUAGCUGCAGUGCUGCUGUGCAAACCACACCAGGUAAUCUUGUACUGUAUUUCUAACACAAAAAAUGUGUCUGACUGCAGUUUAUUUCAGGAGCUGUCUGGUCUUUGUCCAUCUCUUCAUUCUUUAAUUCUCUUGGCUUUCUCAGCUGAGCACUUCUCUAAUCUAGAUGGAGCCUGUCUGUGCACAAGUAAUUUCUGUGAUGUAUGGCUAGUCCUCGUUCCACUUCAGUAGUUAAUUUACUGUCUAUUUGAAAGCUCUUCUACUUUCUGGGACUUCUUUCUCUUCUGAAGUCAGCAAAGAAAAAACAAACAUAAGACCUUAUAACUUCAGAGACAUCUGGACUUUAUCCUUAAAAACUGAUUUUAAUCAUCACUUGUGCUUAAAGUGAUUUAAAGCCUUGCCGUGUGUACGAAUAAAGAUAAUUUACUUUUCUGGUUCUAGCUUUUUCUACCAUCAUUGCAGUUUGUCCAAGUAUGUGAUUGUACUUCUCCUGACUUUGGUAACAGAUCUCUUCUGUCAAUGUAGCAGGGCCAAAUAGUUUAACAAUAUUUUUAAAAAAAAUUAUAAUUAAUAAUAUUUGUUAUAUUAAUAUAUUGCUAAUAAUGUAUUAAUAUAACAUGCAGUGAUUUUGUAAGAUCUAUUAUAAGAUAGAUAUAAGAUAUUAUAAGAUAAAAUAAGAUAAUAUAAUAUAUUAUCUCUAUUAUUGUAAGAGCUAUUAUAAUAGCUUAAAAUAAUAAUAAAACAACUCAUAAGAUCAAGAUGAGUUCUUUGGCCCAAGUUUGCACUGCACACUGUGUUCCAACUGAAGCAGAGGAUGAGGGUACAUAACUGAACAAAGACUUCAAGCUGCAGAACUUGAUCUGCUUUUUCAGAUACUGGGACAUCAGUGAGAAGACGUUCAUUAUCAAAUUGCCUCAGCACCAAGUCCCACUUUGGGCUAACUUCUGUCCCUGCUUUCUCGAGUCUGAAGGCAAAAUGACUUCACUGAGCUCAGUGGUGCUCCUUUGGGCCGAGCAGGGGGCAGUCAGUGCCAGGCCCCUUGCUCCAAGCACACAGAUGUCACUGCAAACCCUCGAGCCUCCGGCUGGCACAUGGCCAAGGCUGAUGUGCUGAGCCGUGCAAACUGAAACAUGCUAAAGCAAUUUUAGAUGCAUUCCUACACUGCAGAAGGGAGAACAUUUUGGCCUCGUUUUCAGAAAAGAAUUGUAGAGUAAGAGGCUGUAUUCCAGCUUCAAAACAGUUUUCUAAAGAAGUUUCAAACUGAUUUGGGACAGUCCUAUUUCUUUUCAAUGUUCCAAUAUUAUGCACAGGGACAAGAAGAGAUUUGGGCCCAGAAGAUCCAAAGGCUCUGGAGUACAGAGUUAACUCAAGCAUAUUUUCCAUAUUAAACAUGAAACGAUUGUUGUUUCUUUAUUACUUAUCAGAGUAGCUUGUUUGUUUGUUUGUUUCCAGCAUAAAUGAGAUGUUUUCAAGUCCUCCUGUAAAUUUUUUUAAUUUUUUUUCCUGUAUAAGGACAUACAUGGGAAUAUACAAAUAGAUGUAUCUGAGAAGAUUCCAAGUGGGACUGUAAAACUUUGAAGGUGAUUUUAGAAUUCUGGACAGAAGUUUCAGUGUUUUUAUUCUGAAGGAAAGCCUGAGAAGCUGUGUUUCCUCCUUUUUUUCCUUUUCCUCCUUUUUUUUUAAUGGAAUAUGUGUCUUGUAAGUCAGAAAUUGACAUUUGCCCAGCUGUCACUAAAGGCAGUUGCUUUCCUCUGGGAAAACAUCCUGCAGGAGUCCAGCUUUCCUCUACCAUCUGUUUCAGGUAAUGAGAGCCCAGGAAGGAAUAAGAGUUGUUAUGGUGUUUAUACCAAUCCUUGAAGUUUUUGGAAAUAAACAUCCAUAUUUGAUCUCUGGAUGUGUUUGGGAAGAAAAGAAAAACCAAAGAAAAAAACUCCAAAACCCAAGAAAGUUUCUUCAUACACCUAAAUUAAAAUAUAGACAAAUGGAAGUUAUUUUUAGAUGGAGCUGUAUUUGAGGGGAAAAGUUGAGAAGAUUAGAAGAAUGUCCCAUUGCCCAAGCACAAAAAGAAGUUGAGAAGAAGAGAAAGUUUGCAGAGAGAAUUCUAAUGGAAAGAAGCUUUAAGAAGAACAAGAAGGAUAUGAUUGUUUGUGUUUGUGAACAGGACAUUUCCCUUUUUUAAAAGAUAAAUAAAUUGAACUGCAUCACAAUAUCUAACUGCAGCAGUAGCAUUUUUUUUUUCACUUACAUAAUUCACUACAGAUCUGACAAGGGGGUAAUACAAAAAUGGGUGAAUGAGAAGAUCAUGUCAACAUGUGCUUGUAGCAAAUCCAGGAAGAGACUGUGCUCUUGGUCUGUGUGAUCCUCCACGUGUUUCCAGAGGAAAGCCAGAAGGGUGAAUCAAAUAGAUGGGGUUGUGGAAAAAACCUAAAUAAAAGACUCCAGGAGCCAGCCAGAGCACAGGCAGGCCAGCAUUACACUGCCCAAGUGAAGAAGGAGAAAGAGAAGUUCUGAUUUCUCCAGGGAAAAAGAGUCAUGACCAAUUGUGCUUCAAAGUAGCCAGAAAAAGUCAAGCCAGACCAGGGAGAAGAAAAAUGAAGAACUGGCUUCUGAAGAACUGGAUAGAUUUGUAAAAUGUACUUCAUCUUCCUUUGAUGGGAGUGUGCUAAAAAUAUUCCAUGAGCUCAAUACAUUAUAUUAGAUACAUUUCUAUUGGAAGUACUCGCAUCUUGUUUGUUAUGGAGGAAAAUGCUGUUACAAGCAAAUGAAAAUAUCUUCCUGCCUGAGAAAGCCAAAUAAUUUCAGCAAUAAGUUUGACAUGGGGUGGAGGGAAUGACACUAUAACUCAAAGAUAAAGCCUUGUACAGAUUUCCACCACAUUUAACUACAUAGCAGAACAUUUGUAUGUUUACCAUGCUUGUGGAUCCCAGCAUUGGUAUUCAUAUUCAGGGAUUGUCAGUGAUACUGAAUGUAUUUUGCUGUACUAAAAAAGCGAGUUUUUCAGGCAAAUGCUGUCUCUGUGGAUGCUUUCAGAGCUUGUGUUAAAGAGAUGCUAUACACCUCCAAUGGGAUUGAAAAUUACAACAAUAAAAGACCAAUUUUUGUUAAAGA